rnacentral:rRNA from 1 species
GACGAACGCUGGCGGCGUGCUUAACACAUGCAAGUCGAACGGAAAGGCCCUGCUUUUGUGGGGUGCUCGAGUGGCGAACGGGUGAGUAACACGUGAGUAACCUGCCCUUGACUUUGGGAUAACUUCAGGAAACUGGGGCUAAUACCGGAUAGGAGCUCCUGCUGCAUGGUGGGGGUUGGAAAGGUUCGGCGGUUGGGGAUGGACGCGCGGCUGAUCAGCUUGUUGGUGGGGUAGUGGCUUACCAAGGCUUUGACGGGUAGCCGGCCUGAGAGGGUGACCGGCCACAUUGGGACUGAGAUACGGCCCAGACUCCUACGGUAGGCAGCAGUGGGGAAUAUUGCACAAUGGGCGGAAGCCUGAUGCAGCAACGCCGCGUGCGGGAUGACGGCCUUCGGGUUGUAAACCGCUUUCGCCUGUGACGAAGCGUGAGUGACGGUAAUGGGUAAAGAAGCACCGGCUAACUACGUG